CCUACGGGAGGCAGCAGUGAGGAAUAUUGGGCAAUGGGGGCAACCCUGACCCAGCCAUGCCGCGUGAGUGAAGAAGGUCUUCGGAUUGUAAAGCUUUUUCGGACGUGACGAUGAUGACGGUAGCGACAAAAGAAGCACCGGCUAACUACGUGCCAGCAGCCGCGGGAAUACGUAGGGGGCAAGCGUUAUCCGGAUUUACUGGGUGUAAAGGGAGCGUAGUCGGCGAUGCAAGUCUGAAGUGAAAGGCGGGGGCCCAACCCCUGGACUGCUUUGGAAACUGUAUGGCUGGAGUGCAGGAGAGGUAAGUGGAAUUCCUAGUGUAGCGGUGAAAUGCGUAGAUAUUAGGAGGAACACCAGUGGCGAAGGCGGCUUACUGGACUGUAACUGACGUUGAGGCUCGAAAGCGUGGGGAGCAAACAGGAUUAGAUACCCUUGUAGUC
rnacentral:rRNA from 1 species